UGAUUAAUCUUUUGCCACCUGAUUGAUAAU
rnacentral:piRNA from 1 species